AGUGAAUAAGGAAUUAAAAUAUAUAAAAUUUUGUGGAAACAGGAAAUUGUGAACAACUCAAAACAGCCGGUUUGUUAUACGAGAUCUAUACACUUUUGCAUGCGUUUGGACCAAUUGCCGAAGCACUUUUGCCACUCUGAUUGAGGAAUAAAAAGAAGUCAUUCGGUGCCAAGUUAGGACUAUACGGCAUAUGAUUCAUGUUUUGGAUCCUAAAAAAUUGAGUUGUUUCGUAUUUUUUGGAGCAUAUCUUUCGACCAAUCGACACGAGCCUUUUUGAGCGAUUAACAAAUUGCGUGGGACCCAACGCGAAAAAAUUUCUUUUUUGGUCAAAUAUUCAUGCAAUAUUGAAUGUAUGCUGGUCCCACUUAUGCUUAAGGUUGUCUCAAUCUCAUGAUAGGUCACAUGACGAUCUUGCAAUAUCAGUUGGCGCACAGCAUCAUUGGUUUUUGGAACAACAACUAAUUUUGGACGACCUUAAGAAAAUUCGUCUAGGAGUGAACUACUACCUUGUUUGAAUUCACCAUACCAUCGAUAAACACUAGUCCUUAAUGGAGCUUCAUCUCCAAAAAAUGCAUAAAGUUCAUCGAUGCAUUGUAGUUGAGGUAAUCCACGUCGAAAGUUGUAAAAAAUAAUCGCACGAAAGUGUUCAUGAUUCAAUUCAAUUUUUUGGGCGAGAUGAAUCUUUUAAGUUACUGUAAACAACACAAAUAAUGAUCGUAUGUCAAAACGUACGUACUCGGAACGUACGUGUCAAGCUUUACAUAGCGCUGUCAGUUGGCAGAUUGCAACACAAGGGUUGUCCAACCCGAAAUAUAGAAGGGAAUCCUCGCCGUUAAUAUGCGAUCUAUAUCACCUUAUUGACUGAUUUGAACCAUAUUCGUCUCGGACAUUAGGAGUCGUAACAAAAAAAUGUUAUGACAAAUUUCAGCCAAAUCGGUUAAGAAUCGCGCCC